GGGGCCCUUUCUACCUAGUACCCUCCCCUGGACUGGUAUUACAGCCGAGACAGACAGGGGCCCUUUCUACCUAGUACCCUCCCCUGGACUGGUAUUACAGCUGAGACAGACAGGGGGCCCUUUCUACCUAGUACCCUCCCCUGGACUGGUAUUACAGCCGAGACAGACAGGGGACCCUUUCUACUCAGGCACAGGGAGGGGCAGCUCAGAACCUUUGUGGUCCUGAGUGAUUCUCUGCCACAACAACUAACAUGGAUUUAAAAAAGGAAAGUGUAACAAUGGUCCUUCUGUGUUAGUGGCUGAAAAUGUCAGGUCUUCCUCUUCUGAUGCUAUGAUGCCCAGUUCUGUCUGUGUGUAGUCUGGUGCUGGGAGGUUACUAGGCUUCACAGACAACAGUCUGGUGCUCUGAGGUUACUAGGCUUCACAGACAACAGUCUGGUGCUGUGAGGUUACUAGGCUUCACAGACAACAGUCUGGUGCUGUGAGGUUACUAGGCUUCACAGACAACAGUCUGGUGCUCUGAGGUUACUAGGCUUCACAGACAACAGUCUGGUGCUGGGAGGUUACUAGGCUUCACAGACAACAGUCUGGUGCUGGGAGGUUACUAGGCUUCACAGACAACAGUCAGACUUCCUGUCUGUAAGCGUCCCCAUGUUCAGAAUUAUAUUUGUAUUAUUCUCACUAGUCUUUAUUUACACAUUUAAUAUUUCUUGGGAGCUGCUUGUGUCUGGAUGGUGUGCUAACCUGUUUGACAUUAUAAUAAUGUAAUAUAAUUUAUAUCGUUUGUAUUAUUCUAACAUAAUAUUGUGGGUCUUUUUUAUUCUGUAAUUUCUUCCUGGGGGUUUUAUAGGAUCGGGGGGGGGGUGUAUAUUAACACCAGUCUAAACCAGCUUCACCUGGAGCUGCUAUGGGACAAUAAAAU
ensembl:lncRNA